UACGAAGGGGGCUAGCGUUGUUCGGAAUUACUGGGCGUAAAGCGCGCGCAGGCGGUCUUCCAAGUCAGUGGUGAAAGCCCGGAGCUCAACUCCGGAACUGCCAUUGAAACUGUGAGACUUGAGUAUGAGAGAGGUGAGUGGAAUUCCCAGUGUAGAGGUGAAAUUCGUAGAUAUUGGGAAGAACACCCGGUGGCGAAGGCGGCU
rnacentral:rRNA from 1 species